UCUCCGUAGGUGAACCUGCGGAGGGAUCAUUACCGAGUGAGGGUCCUUGUGGCCCGACCUCCAACCCCCUGUCUUCCGACUCUGUUGCCUCGGGGGCGACCCGGCCCUCUGGGCGUCGGGGCCCCCGGAGGCCAUUAAACACUGCAUCAUUGCGUCGGAGUUAAAGUAAAUUAAACAAAACUUUCAACAACGGAUCUCUUGGUUCCAGCAUCGAUGAAGAACGCAGC
rnacentral:misc_RNA from 1 species